UUUGGAGCAUGUUUUCUGUCAUUUUCUGGACAAGUCUCAGGGCCCAGGGAGAGAAAGGCGGUCUGAACAGCAGCCAGAGGAGGUUGUGAUGAAGGAAUUCUUGACUCUGUCGAGUAGGUGUGUGUGGUCACAUUUUCUGGAAGAAAGAAAGUGAAGUCGCUCAGUCGUGUCAGACCCUUUGCGACCCCAUGGACUAUAGCCUGCCAGGGUCCUCCAUCCAUGGACUCUUUCAUGCAAGAGUACUGGAGUGGGCUGCCAUUUCCUUCUCCAGGAGAUCUUCCCGACCCAGGGAUUGAACCCAGGUCUCCCGCAUUGUAGGCACACCACGUUUUCUGAAGGGCUUUGAAAUCAGUGUUUAUUUGCCGUGAAUAGGAAAAGAGUAGAACGCACAAUGCGAAAAUGGGAAGAACCCUGGACUUUUUGUGUCAGGACCAUCAUCCAAGUCACUUCCGCUCCGUGAGAAUCAGUUUCCACUUCUGUAAGCUGGAUUGGGGUGGCCUUGGCAGUCUUGGUUAAAGGGUAGACAUGGCCGGGACUGCUUCACUUGCUUCUGUCCACACGUAAUCCCCUCUUUAUUAACCGAGUCAUUGAUAGUGGCUUCUGAAAACUUCUUUGGAGAUGGUAUCAGAUAGAUCAUUGCACUUAGCCUGCCUACUGUUAAAAACAGUUAACUGACUUAUUAAGCAUAUCUGCUUACUAGCCGAUAAAAUUUCCCAAAUUGAUGUGCGCAGGCUAUAAAAGCUGUCAUAUUAACAGUAUUGUGGAGUUUUGUUUUUGUUAAUUUGUACUAUCUGAUUUUAUGUAAUAAAGGAUAAAUUUUAUAGACACAAAACAGUGCCAGGAACUGGUUCUUUAUAGCUCCUAGAUCUUUCCAGCUGCCUCCUCUAUUCUUGAAAUAGAGAAUAUUUUGGCCCAGCCCCAGGGUGCCCACGGAACUCUUGUGGCUAUUUUUAUGUGGCCUUCAUCCAUUUUACAUGGGUCUAUCUGCCUCACAUCAACCCCUCUUUUUUACUUCUCAAAUGAGCUUCCCAUAAGUUGGGCUGCUGAAACAAGCAUCACAAACCACAUGGCUUGAAACAACAGAGCUAUCUCCCUCAUCUCACCAUUUUGGAGGCUGAAGUCCGAAAUCAAGGUAUCAGCAGGGUCAGGCUCCUUCUGAAACCUGGAGGGGAGCAUCUUUACUUGCCUCUUGCUGGAUUCGGACGGGUUGCCAGCAGUCCUUGGCUCUCUAGGCUCACGGCUGCAGCCCUUCGCUCUCUGCCGCCGUCUGUUACACGGUGUCCCCGUCUCCUGUGUGUGUCCCAGGGUCCCUCCCCCUCUGGGAAGGACAGCAGUCAUAUUGGAUUGGGGCCACCCUAAUGACCUCAUCUGAAGCUUGAUUACAUCUGCAGAGACCGUAUUUCCAAAUAAGGGUGCAUCCACAAGUGCUGGGGGAUUAAGACUUCGACACAUCUUCUCAGAGGAUGCAGUUCAACCCAUAACACUCUCCAUUCUUGUUUCUCCAACUCCCAACUUGUGUGGGGGACGCGGUGGACCCGAUCAACCAGAAUGCACACUGAGGCCCCUUCGGCUCAGAGUCUGAGGCUCUCAGUGUCCACUGUUCUAAGUUCAGACAUGAGUCAGCUUCGGGCAACUAAGGAGCCCAAGAGAGACUGAUGAGAAGGAGGUUCCAGAUCAUUAUUAAACAGAUAAGAAGCGUGUCCUUUGGAAACAUGAUUCAUGUACAUUCUUGGCAAAGCAGGGGCUGUUUUAUUUUGCUUGUCACAGUCAUCCUUUUUGUCCUCAUUUUUAUUUGUUGAAUGAUUGUUGGUCCAAAGUUUUCUAAGCUGAAUUCCCAUCCUGUUACCCAUAAAAUUGCAUAAAGUGAGAUGCUAGAGUUAAAAAAAAAAAUAACUGUCACAUCACAACUGAUAUUAGAGAUUGGCGAGGCUGCCAGCUGGAGCAGACUAACAAGGAAAAUCAAGACUCCUCUCUCCGUCUUUGUCCUUCAGGCUAAAAAAAGGCAAGAUAAGAAGAGAGAACGUUUUGUAAUGAGUAAGGGUGGCUGCGCCUCGUGAUGGGUCAGCCCUGCGUGUCUGGAGGAGGACUCUCUUUGAGGCCCAGGAGGGAAAACUGUGUCACAGCCGCAGGAGGGGAAAGCACUGAUCGCCAAGUUGAAAGAGGACAUUUUCCCAGAGCUGUAGACCCACAGUCCUCAGCGUGACGGAUGUACAGAGCUGGGUCUGCCUCCCUCCUGCGUCUCCCCCAACGUGACCGAAGGUGGACACCAGAUGUGUAAGUCAGGACAGGGCUGUGUCCCAUCUAUUAGAAAUCUCUGACUUGUGGGCACAAAACAAAAACCUCAGUCAAAGGGAAUCUUCUCCAAAAUUCAAUUGCGCUGUUUCUUUUCCUGGCUUUCAGAAAUCAUUUGUAUAAACCAUGGGUGGCUUAAUCAUACUGUCUUUAUGAAAGCAGGUUCUGUCACUUGCUGUCAGGGCCAGGUAAAAACACUUGGAAUUCACACUGUGUCGUUAUUACUCUGGUCUUCCUUUGCCCCUCUUCAGCAAUGGGCGUUAUGGAUUUGUCAGCGUUUCCGUUGUUAGCUCUUAUUUUCAAGGCUUCUGUCUUAGUUGCUGAAAUUGCAUUGUCCUGGAUGGGAGCCUGGAGGUAAUUUCCUUUAGUGUUACAGUGGCUGCAGUCUUUUAUGGGUGUGUGUGACUGUGCAAGUGAUUUCAAUAUCUUUUUAUUAAAAAAUUAAUUCAUG